UUGGGGAAUAUUGGACAAUGGGGGGAACCCUGAUCCAGCCAUGCCGCGUGUGUGAAGAAGGCCUUUUGGUUGUAAAGCACUUUAAGCGAGGAGGAGGCUACCGAGAUUAAUACUCUUGGAUAGUGGACGUUACUCGCAGAAUAAGCACCGGCUAACUCUGUGCCAGCAGCCGCGGUAAUACAGAGGGUGCAAGCGUUAAUCGGAUUUACUGGGCGUAAAGCGCGCGUAGGUGGCCAAUUAAGUCAAAUGUGAAAUCCCCGAGCUUAACUUGGGAAUUGCAUUCGAUACUGGUUGGCUAGAGUAUGGGAGAGGAUGGUAGAAUUCCAGGUGUAGCGGUGAAAUGCGUAGAGAUCUGGAGGAAUACCGAUGGCGAAGGCAGCCAUCUGGCCUAAUACUGACACUGAGGUGCGAAAGCAUGGGGAGCAAACAGGAUUAGAUACCCUUGUAGUCC
rnacentral:rRNA from 1 species